UGCGUAUUCUUUUUUCCUUUUAAAUGUUCCUCAUGCUGUCUUUCAUGAUAACUUUGAGCGUUGGGUGUACUUUAUUAUAAUUAUGUUGAACUCCUCAGUAUUUGCCCCGGCUGCAUGACGGUGUGCUUUAUUCAUGUAGAUUUGCACAAGCACAAUUUAUGUAUAAAUAAUUGAAAGUGCUUAUGCAGAAAUUGUUCACAUGGUGCCCAAAUACCACAUGCUUACAAUGUGACCUUUCCCAGAGCGAUAGCUGUGGUCCAAAUUUAAGAUCCAAUGUCCUUGUUAGCAGGAGGUGAAUUCCCAUGUGGGCCCACAGCAAUCUUUGGCAGCCCUGGGAGACAAACUCGUUACCCAGUAGCCCAGGGGGCAGCUGAUAGCAGAACAUGGUGAAGCGCUCUUUAGCGAGAGACCUCGCUCGGACGACUUCUAAAUAGAGUCUUUUAUUCCCAUGUGCUUCCACUUUACCGCCACUGAGCUCCAUACCUGCUCUGGGAGUGUAACGUGGACUCUGCUGAGCAUGAUUCAGAUCUCAGAAGACCAAACUUACUGCAAAAUCUAUGAACUUUUGGUGUUGUCACUGUGUAGUUUUAAUAGACUUUUUAAAAGCCAAACCAUGCUUAAUUAAAUGGUCUAUCAGGAUUGCUUUGCCAGGUUAUUGGAAAGAAGUUGGAGUGAGAAGUUUGGAGAAAAUACUGUUGCUAUGAAUGACGGCCAGAUGUGCAUGCAGUGGAUUACAGGUGACACAGGUGACUGUGAAGCAGACACCGAGUUAUGCCUGAUGAAGGAAACGAGGAAGGGCCCAAAUGUGUGUCGGUCAGCGCAUAAAUCUGAAUUUAGAUGUGGAAGACCACACCAGACGGACGCUCAUCUCAAUAAUGUGCCUGGCCAUAUGCUGCUUGCGGAUAGGGGAGUGGGGGAGAGGAUAAGGGAGUGCAUUUUAUUUUAUUGUUUAUUUUAUUGUUGUUAUUAAAGAGCAAGAGGAUCAAAUAUGUGCCUGCACUCUUGCAUGUAUGGUCGUGGAGAAAGUCUUCACUGUAUAUUGAACAUAAAAAGCAUUCUUA